rnacentral:rRNA from 1 species
UACGUAGGGGGCUAGCGUUGCUCGGAAUCACUGGGCGUAAAGCGCACGUAGGCGGCUUACUAAGUCAGGGGUGAAAUCCUGGAGCUCAACUCCAGAACUGCCUUUGAUACUGGUGAGCUUGAGUCCGGAAGAGGUGAGUGGAACUGCGAGUGUAGAGGUGAAAUUCCGUAGAUAUUCGCAAGAACACCAGUGGCGAAGGCGGCUCACUGGUCCGGUACUGACGCUGAGGUGCGAAAGCGUGGGGAGCAAACAGG